AUUGGUUGAUAAAUAAAGCACUGUUGGCCAAUAGGAGAGCAAGUUAGGUGGGACUAGGAGUUGAGGAGGAUUCUGGGAAAUGUAGUAGAGACAGCAGCCACCAUGUGAUCACCAGGAAGACAGGAUAUAUUCCACCAGUGUGCUCAAUAAAAUAAGUUUAUAAAAUAUAUAGAUUAAUAGUUAUGGGUGAUACUUAAGACAGAGCUAGCAAAUAGGAAAUCUUAGUCAUUGGCCAGUAGCAUUGUACCUAAUACAAGACUCUGUGUGUUAUUUUGGACACCCACAUGGCGGCAGGGCUUGGGCAGCUUGGCAGAAAGAUUUAUCAUUACAAUUCCGUCUUACAGCAUACUGUCCAUCAUCCAGGGAAGCUAAGGCAAACCCAGAGGCAAGAACAGAAGCAGAGGCCAUGGAGGAUAAUGCUCACUGGCUGCCUCAGCUUGUUCACUUAUACAAGCCAGGGCCACCUGCCAGGGGUCACACUAUCCACAUCAAUCAUUAAUCAAGAAAAUGCCCCCCUCAGACUUGCUCACUGGCCAAUCUGAUGGAGGCAACCCCUCAAGGAAGGGGUCCACUUUCCCAGGCAUCAGGUUGAAAAAACCAACCAGCACACACAGGCUAUCAAAUGCAUGGCUAAUUCUACAUGAGAAGUCCACCAACUAUAUGUUAAGAGUUGUCUUUGUCAUGGUCUGUGGUUUAGAGCACUUAAUUGCUCUUGCAGAGGGCCCAAGUUCGAGUCCCAGCACCCACAUGGUGGCUCAAAACUGUCUGCAACUCCAGUUCCAAGGGAUCCAGUGCCCUCCCCUGACCUCUGUGAGCAGCAGGCCAGCAUGGGACAUUUAGGAGAUUACUGAAGAUUGAACCCAGAGACCCAGCAGGGAUGAAGACUUUCCCUCUUCCUCCAGUGAACUUCAGGCCCAGAGCACUUAUGUAAGGACUCUACUUGACUUGGGAGGGACCCUGCACCCACCCUCAAGGGACCUUCUCUUAGAACCUCUCCUCUAGCAGCUGAGGCUACAUUGUCAUCACCCAUCCUUCCAGACAGAUGAGGUGGCCUGCUGUGGAGAGCCACAGCCCUAAGAUGGCACUUGGCUGGAUGCCAGGAGCUUAGCUGUAAACAAGCCUUAUUUGGAAGUGCUUGAGGCAUCUGGCGCACUUCCUCCUUCUGUGGCCUA